GCCUUCGUGGUGUAACGGUAGCACACUCGGCGCGUAUUCGAGAGUUCCAGGUUCGAUUCCUGAAGAGGGCA
rnacentral:tRNA from 1 species